GAUGAACGCUGGCGGCGUGCCUAAUGCAUGCAAGUCGAGCGAACGGACGAGAAGCUUGCUUCUCUGAUGUUAGCGGCGGACGGGUGAGUAACACGUGGAUAACCUACCUAUAAGACUGGGAUAACUUCGGGAAACCGGAGCUAAUACCGGAUGAUAUUUUGAACCGCAUGGUUCAAAAGUGGAAGACGGUCUUGCUGUCACUUAUAGAUGGAUCCGCGCUGCAUUAGCUAGUUGGUAAGGUAACGGCUUACCAAGGCAACGAUGCAUAGCCGACCUGAGAGGGUGAUCGGCCACACUGGAACUGAGACACGGUCCAGACUCCUACGGGAGGCAGCAGUAGGGAAUCUUCCGCAAUGGGCGAAAGCCUGACGGAGCAACGCCGCGUGAGUGAUGAAGGUCUUCGGAUCGUAAAACUCUGUUAUUAGGGAAGAACAUAUGUGUAAGUAACUGUGCACAUCUUGACGGUACCUAAUCAGAAAGCCACGGCUAACUACGUG
rnacentral:rRNA from 1 species